GGCGCGCAGGCCUUCCGCCGCGUUGAUCUUUCGGUUGCUGGUGGCUGUGGGCCGCACGGUCUACGGUCGGGCUGGAAGACGCGCGCUGCAAUGGCGACCUUUGUGAGCGAGCUGGAGGCAGCCAAGAAGAACUUGAGCGAGGCGCUGGGGGACAACGUGAAACAAUACUGGGCCAACCUGAAGCUGUGGUUCAAGCAGAAGAUCAGCAAGGAGGAGUUCGACCUUGAAGCUCACAGGCUCCUCACACAGGACAAUGUCCAUUCUCACAAUGAUUUCCUCCUGGCCAUCCUCACACGUUGUCAGAUUUUGGUUUCUACACCAGAGGGUGCUGGAUCUUUGCCCUGGACAGGGGGCUCUGCAGCCAAGCCUGGAAAACCCAAGGGGAAGAAAAAGCUUUCUUCCGUUCGUCAAAAAUUUGAUCAUAGAUUCCAGCCUCAGAACCCCCUCUCUGGAGCUCAGCAGUUUGUGGCAAAGGAGCCCCAGGGUGAUGACGACUUGAAACUUUGUUCACACACCAUGAUGCUUCCCACUCGAGGUCAACUUGAAGGGAGAAUGAUCGUGACUGCCUAUGAGCACGGGCUGGACAAUGUCACUGAGGAGGCCGUCUCUGCUGUGGUCUAUGCGGUGGAGGUUGGUGGGCGUCUAGAAAUAACUACACAUAAUUGUGACGAGCUUGUGUGUGGAAAGCUGACUCUGACAGGAACUGGACGGCACUCUCUGUCAUCAUUGAAGGAGACACACUUCACACUGUAAAACUGCAGAAUUGCUUUUGAUUGACAGGUUUUCCAGACAGUUCCCCACAGUGCCCUUGGUUCUGCUUGCCUCUCGUGUGAGAAACUCUAGUGGCGCAGUGUGUAAGGUCGUGCUGCAUUUAAAGAGUGUCAGUGUGGACAUCUAAAUAGUUCCACCCACUGUUUGAGUCAUCCCCUCANUAAGUUAUUUGACAGAACAUACAUUGCACCAAUGCCAAGGCAGUACACAGACAAGUUUCUGGUGCACAUUUUCCUCAUAGACACUUGUAAGAUAAUAGUUGUCUUAAAUGAAUUCUGUGUGAAAACCCGUAUUAAGUUGCACAAGGGCAUGUUGAUAAGACAGAUUGGUCUGAGUAAGUGCCCAGCCUGACUCUGGAGCUCUGUGCUGACAUAUGAUAAGAGGGCUCUGC